rnacentral:tRNA from 1 species
GGCGGGGUGGCUCAGUGGUUAGAGCGCGAAUUUACUGACCGGAAGGUUCGUGGUUCGAACCCGACCUCUGCCU